GGUAAAUUAAGAGGAAGAUGGAAAGUAGACGUGGAAAAUGUUAAUCAUGUAUUAUGAGACAAAAACCACGAACCCUGAUUCAGAAGAGCCGAAAUACUGGCCUCUGGUUCCUCUGUUUCCGGCCCACUCCCGUGUCCUCCCCCCUGACUUGGGAUGAUGACCCUGCACUUCUAUCUUCCAAUUCAAUAGUCCAUCAUCUCUCCCUGCAAUACGUUAUAGGUGCAGAGAAACCUCCAUGGAUAGAAGGACUGGUAACCGCCUUUUUUAACAGAGGGAGUAAAUAUCACUCCAUCUUGACGAGGGCGUCGACAAGAUGCUGGAGCGCACGCUUCGAUUCUUAAAGAAUAGAACCGGAUUAAUACCAAGUAUUAAUAAAUUGUCAUGCCAGAGCUUUAGCACCAACAUCCGUGGCGGAAUCACAGGUGGGGAUCAGGUUGCUCAGGAGAAGGUAGACUGCGUGGUAAUUGGCGCAGGCAUUGUGGGGAUUGCGGCAGCCAGAGAGUUGAGUUUGAGGGGGAGAUAUGUGUUGGUUCUUGAAUCUGCCUCCACUUUCGGCACCGCCACCAGCUCUCGCAACAGCGAGGUCAUCCAUGCAGGCAUCUAUUACCCUCCCAAUUCUCUCAAGGCACUUCUUUGUGUAAGAGGAAGAGAAUUGCUCUACAACUAUUGCUGUGAACAUGACAUUCCCCAUAGCCAGAUUGGUAAGCUUAUAGUUGCUACUGGGUCUUCCGAGAUUCCCAAGUUGAGUCAUCUAAAGGAUCUUGGAACCAAAAAUGGGGUUGUGGGGCUUAGAAUGUUGGAGGGUUUUGAAGCCAUGAGAAUGGAACCUGAAUUGCAAUGUGUCAAGGCUUUACUAUCACCCCUUUCUGGGAUUGUUGACACUCAUUCGCUAAUGCUAUCUUUAGUGGGGGAAGCUGAAAGUAGUGGAACAACCUUCUCAUACAAUACUACAGCUAUCAGUGGCCACAUAGAAGGAAAUCAGAUGCAACUUUAUGUAACUGAAAGGACAAAUCUUGAAAACUCGAAUGGGGAAACUCCCCUGCAUCCCCAGCUUGUUCUCAUCCCAAAGCUUGUGGUGAAUGCUGCUGGGUUGAGUGCUCCGGCCCUUGCAAAGAGAUUUCAUGGUAUAAAUCACAGCAUUAUUCCUCCGGCAUAUUAUGCCCGAGGAUGCUACUUCACACUAUCUAAUACUAGAGUUGCUCCUUUCUCCCAUUUGAUAUAUCCUAUACCAGAGGAAGGUGGCCUUGGAGUUCAUGUUACUUUAGAUUUGGAUGGACAGGUCAAGUUUGGUCCAGAUGUUGAAUGGAUUAAUGGUAGAGAUGAUAUUACAGGCUUCCUGAACAAGUACUCCUGGUUUAUCCCUUUAUUUUCUCUUUCCAUGUUUGAAUUACUGAGUAAUAUUUUUGUGGAGAUAAGUAGCUCGUUAUUUGUUUUGCAGGAUACAUAGCGCAAUUCCACCUAAUUAUGACCUCCUUAGUGACUUUUUUUGUUAGAUUGAAUAAUUUGUUAAAGAAAUUGUUUGUCUCGUCCUGGAGUGUGGUACCAUCAUCACAAUGGAAUUUCUGAGUCAUGAUCCAGAUUGCUAGGAUGAAAAUGAAUUUGUGGGUAGUCAUGUGUGUUUGCCCUGACGUGCCGAAAUUUGUAAAUGUUCCCAUUAUGGAAGGUGGAUGUGAUUGCUUUUAUGUCGAGAUGAAAUGCAUUCGACAUGAUAAGGGGCAUUUCAUUUGGUCAUGUAGUUUUUCACUCUGAUUAUGCAUGUCUACAACUGAAAUUUAUAUUUGGUCCGGGUGUACUGUGCUUCUGUAGUCCAUCUGACUAAUUGACAAUGUACACCUUGUAGGGGAGAUGUAUCUCAUUAUGGAAUAGGUUUUAUAUCUUAAUUUUUCCUUUUUCUGGAUGGUCCUUUUGUUUGCUUCUUUUCUUGGUCUUUGCCUCUUAUUUUCUUAGGCUUCAUGUUCUCAUCAUUUAUGUCUCUGCAACAAACUAGUUAUAGGCAUUACCAAAUUUUACUCUCUUCCUCUCCAGUUUAUCAUUUGAACUUCACUGCUAUAGAUAACAGCUUCCUGUCCCAAAUUUGAGUAGUUCAGUUUCUAGUUCAUUAAUUGGAAGCACCAGUUUCCAGCCUUUUAUUAUCUGUUGAAAAAGGACUUAGUACUACAGCAUAAAGUGCUAAAAUCUUAAGGAAAUGAACGUGAGUUCUUUUCUUUUGUCUCUUUUUUUUUGGUUUCUAAAAAAUUUACUGGAUGUUAAUUUUAAUUUUGAAUCUGAUUAUUAUUAAUGUGUCUAUUCAGAGUGUUUUAAGUUGGUAGAAGUAUUAGCUGGUGACAAAUAUUGAGAGGAGAUUUUAAGGGGUCCUACAUUUGGAAGCUUUCAAAAUAAGGCUGGGAGUUGACAGGAAGGGACCAAAAACUUGUAAUUUAUUUACAAGACAACAAGAGCACUAGUGGUUGAGUUCUUUGAUGACAGCUUAGCUUAUUUUGAAAUAAGAUACGAAGAGGAGUUUCGAGGAAACACGCACAAAAUAGCACCAGUCUGGAGAUUUUGAUUCUAUAUUUCAUAAUACAUGUUGGUAAAAGUUUGACUAUGCUGUGAGCGGGGAACGUGUAGAGAGAUUCUACCCAGAGAUUAGAAA